rnacentral:rRNA from 1 species
UCGCAAUGGGCGCAAGCCUGACGACGCAACGCCGCGUGGAGGAUGAAGGUCUUCGGAUUGUAAACUCCUGUUGCCCGGGACGAAAUGCUCCAACCUAAUACGUUGGAGUUUGACGGUACCGGGUGAGGAAGCCCCGGCUAACUCUGUGCCAGCAGCCGCGGUAAUACAGAGGGGGCAAGCGUUGUUCGGAAUUACUGGGCGUAAAGGGCGCGUAGGCGGCCUUCUAAGUCGGACGUGAAAUCCCCGGGCUCAACCCGGGAACUGCGUCCGAGACUGAAAGGCUUGAAUCCGGGAGAGGGAUGUGGAAUUCCAGGUGUAGCGGUGAAAUGCGUAGAUAUCUGGAGGAACACCGGUGGCGAAGGCGGCAUCCUGGACCGGUAUUGACGCUGAGGCGCGAAAGCCAGGGGAGCAAACGGGAUUAGAUACCCCGGUAGUCCUGGCCCUAAACGAUGAAUGCUUGGUGUGGCGGGUAUCGAUCCCUGCCGUGCCGAAGCUAACGC